rnacentral:rRNA from 1 species
AGUGAACGCUGGCGGUAGGCCUAACACAUGCAAGUCGAACGGCAGCACAGUAAGAGCUUGCUCUUACGGGUGGCGAGUGGCGGACGGGUGAGGAAUACAUCGGAAUCUACUUUUUCUUGGGGGAUAACGUAGGGAAACUUACGCUAAUACCGCAUACGACCUACGGGUGAAAGCAGGGGAUCUUCGGACCUUGCGCGAUUGAAUGAGCCGAUGUCGGAUUAGCUAGUUGGCGGGGUAAAGGCCCACCAAGGCGACGAUGCGUAGCUGAUCUGAGAGGAUGAUCAGCCACACUGGAACUGAGACACGGUCCAGACUCCUACGGGAGGCAGCAGUGGGGAAUAUUGGACAAUGGGCGCAAGCCUGAUCCAGCCAUACCGCGUGGGUGAAGAAGGCCUUCGGGUUGUAAAGCCCUUUUGUUGGGAAAGAAAAGCAGCAGGUUAAUACCCCGCUGUUCUGACGGUACCCAAAGAAUAAGCACCGGCUAACUUCGUG